rnacentral:rRNA from 1 species
CACGUAGGGGGCAAGCGUUGUCCGGAUUUAUUGGGCGUAAAGAGCUCGUAGGCGGCUCAGUAAGUCAGGUGUGAAACCUCCAGGCUCAACCUGGAGACGCGACCUGAUACUGCUGUGGCUAGAGUCCGGUAGGGGAGCGUGGAAUUCCUGGUGUAGCGGUGAAAUGCGCAGAUAUCAGGAGGAACACCAGCGGCGAAGGCGGCGCUCUGGGCCGGAACUGACGCUGAGGAGCGAAAGCGUGGGUAGCAAACAGG